rnacentral:rRNA from 1 species
UACAGAGGGUGCAAGCGUUGUUCGGAAUUACUGGGCGUAAAGGGCGCGUAGGCGGUUUAGUAAGUCAGAUAUGAAAGCCUGGGGCUCAACCCCAGAAUUGCAUUUGAAACUGCUAGGCUAGAGUGCAGUAGAGGAUGGCGGAAUACCUAGUGGAGAGGUGAAAUUCGUAGAUAUUAGGUGGAACACCGGUGGCGAAGGCGGCCAUCUGGGCUGUAACUGACGCUGAGGCGCGAGAGCGUGGGGAGCGAACAGG